AGAGUUUGAUCCUGGCUCAGGAUGAACGCUAGCGGCAGGCCUAACACAUGCAAGUCGAGGGGUAACAGGAGUAGCUUGCUACUUGCUGACGACCGGCGCACGGGUGCGUAACGCGUAUACAAUCUACCUUUUGCUGAGGGAUAGCCCAGAGAAAUUUGGAUUAAUACCUCAUGGUAUCAUAUUAUCGCAUGGUAAAAUGAUUAAAGGUUACGGCAAAAGAUGAGUAUGCGUCCUAUUAGCUAGAUGGUGUGGUAACGGCACACCAUGGCAACGAUAGGUAGGGGCCCUGAGAGGGGGAUCCCCCACACUGGUACUGAGACACGGACCAGACUCCUACGGGAGGCAGCAGUGAGGAAUAUUGGACAAUGGAGGCAACUCUGAUCCAGCCAUGCCGCGUGCAGGAAGACUGCCCUAUGGGUUGUAAACUGCUUUUAUACGGGAAGAAACCCACCUACGUGUAGGUGGCUGACGGUACCGUAAGAAUAAGGAUCGGCUAACUCCGUGCCAGCAGCCGCGGUAAUACGGAGGAUCCAAGCGUUAUCCGGAAUCAUUGGGUUUAAAGGGUCCGUAGGUGGACAAUUAAGUCAGAGGUGAAAGUCUGCAGCUCAACUGUAGAAUUGCCUUUGAUACUGGUUGUCUUGAGUCAUUAUGAAGUGGUUAGAAUGUGUAGUGUAGCGGUGAAAUGCAUAGAUAUUACACAGAAUACCGAUUGCGAAGGCAGAUCACUAAUAAUGUACUGACACUGAUGGACGAAAGCGUGGGUAGCGAACAGGAUUAGAUACCCUGGUAGUCCACGCCGUAAACGAUGGUCACUAGCUGUUCGGACUUCGGUCUGAGUGGCUAAGCGAAAGUGAUAAGUGACCCACCUGGGGAGUACGUUCGCAAGAAUGAAACUCAAAGGAAUUGACGGGGGCCCGCACAAGCGGUGGAGCAUGUGGUUUAAUUCGAUGAUACGCGAGGA
rnacentral:rRNA from 1 species